UUCGCAAUGCCCGAAAGGGUGACGAAGCGACGCCGCGUGGGUGAGGAAGGCCCUCGGGUUGUAAAGCCCUGUCAGGAGUUAAGAAAUGUAAGUGCGCUAAUAUCGCAUUUAUUUGACGAAGGCUCCAAAGGAAGCCACGGCUAACUCUGUGCCAGCAGCCGCGGUAAUACAGAGGUGGCAAGCGUUGUUCGGAAUUAUUGGGCGUAAAGAGCACGUAGGUGGGUUUGUAAGUCAGAUGUGAAAGCCUUCUGUUCAACGGAAGAAUUGCAUCUGAAACUACAAGUCUUGAGUGUAGGAGGGGAGAAUGGAACUUCUGGUGGAGCGGUGAAAUGCGUAGAUAUCAGAAGGAACGCCGGCGGCGAAAGCGAUUCUCUGGCCUAUUACUGACACUCAGUGUGCGAAAGCUAGGGGAGCAAACGGGAUUAGAUACCCCGGUAGUCCUAGCCGUAAACGAUGGGCACUAAGUAGAGGGGUUUU
rnacentral:rRNA from 2 species